GACGGAGGAUGCAAGUGUUAUCCGGAAUCACUGGGCGUAAAGCGUCUGUAGGUGGUUUAAUAAGUCAACUGUUAAAUCUUGAGGCUCAACCUCAAAAUCGCAGUCGAAACUAUUAGGCUAGAGUAUAGUAGGGGUAAAGGGGAAUUUCCAGUUGGAGCGGUGGAAAUGCGUAGAGAUUGGAAAGAACACCGAUGGCGAAGGCACUUUACUGGGCUAUUACUAACACUCAGAGACGAAAGCUAGGGUAGCAAAUGGG
rnacentral:rRNA from 1 species